AUGGUGGUGGAUCUGGAAUGGUGCGCAAAUGGUUAUACGAAUCGGAGGAUGUCUAGGGUGAUUUGCGGAGGAGUAGAUCUGAAAAAGAGAGAGACCGGUGGUGGACGGUCGGAAACACAUAUCCUCUCUCUUCGACUUCCUUUUCCUUCUUUAUUGGAUUGCAUGUUUUAUAUUGUAGUUGCUGUAAAAAAAUUUUAA